UGGAACGGGACGCCAGAGAGGGUGAGAGCCCCGUACGGUUGGACACCUACCCUAUAUAUAGCUCCUUCGACGAGUCGAGUAGUUUGGGAAUGCUGCUCUAAAUGGGAGGUAAAUAUCUUCUAAAGCUAAAUACCGGCCAGAGACCGAUAGCGCACAAGUAGAGUGAUCGAAAGAUGAAAAGCACUUUGAAAAGAGGGUUAAAUAGCACGUGAAAUUGUUGAAAGGGAAGCGUUUGCGACCAGACUUUUUCCAGGCGGAUCAUCCGGUGUUCUCACCGGUGCACUUCGCCUGGUUUAGGCCAGCAUCGGUUCUCUUAGGGGGAUAAAGGCUUGGGGAACGUAGCUCCUUCGGGAGUGUUAUAGCCCCUUGCGUAAUACCCUUCGGGGGACCGAGGAUCGCGCUCUGCAAGGAUGCUGGCGUAAUGGUCGUCAACGACCCGUCUUGAAACACGGACCAAGGAGUCGAACAUUUGUGCGAGUGUUUGGGUGUUAAACCCUCACGCGUAAUGAAAGUGAACGGAGGUGAGAGCCCUUACGGGUGCAUCAUCGACCGAUCCUGAUGUCUUCGGAUGGAUUUGAGUAAGAGCAUAACUGUUCGGACCCGAAAGAUGGUGAACUAUGCGUGGAUAGGGUGAAGCCAGAGGAAACUCUGGUGGAGGCUCGCAGCGGUUCUGACGUGCAAAUCGAUCGUCAAAUCUGCGCAUGGGGGCGAAAGACUUAUCGAACCAUCUAGUAGCUGGUUACCGCCGAAGUUUCCCUCAGGAUAGCAGUGUUGUUUUCAGUUUUAUGAGGUAAAGCGAAUGAUUAGGGACUCGGGGGCGCUAUUUAGCCUUCAUCCAUUCUCAAACUUUAAAUAUGUAAGAAGCCCUUGUUACUUAAUUGAACGUGGGCAUUCGAAUGUAUCAACACUAGUGGGCCAUUUUUGGUAAGCAGAACUGGCGAUGCGGGAUGAACCGAACGCGGGGUUAAGGUGCCAGAGUGGACGCUCAUCAGACACCACAAAAGGUGUUAGUACAUCUUGACAGCAGGACGGUGGCCAUGGAAGUCGGAAUCCGCUAAGGACUGUGUAACAACUCACCUGCCGAAUGUACUAGCCCUGAAAAUGGAUGGCGCUCAAGCGUCUCACCCAUACCUCGCCCUUAGGGUAGAAACGAUGCCCUAAGGAGUAGGCGGCCGUGGGGGUCAGUGACGAAGCCUAGG
rnacentral:rRNA from 1 species